CUUAAACCCCGCCCCCAACUGGGCCCUGGGAGGUGCCGGGGGCUUCGAGGUUUUGUCUUCCCCUCCCCGUCCCACUCCGCGGGCAGGUGUCUGCGCCCCGAGAUGCCCUCCACGGGUGUGCGGGACCCCCUUUCCCCGCUUCGCUCCUGAUCUACGAAACUGGGGCCGUCCCAGAACAGCCUUUAGGAACAGGGGAUUAAUUCAGCCGAUCAUGCAAUAAGCAUGAAUUGGGCGCCUGCUGUAUGCAGGGGCUUGCGUUUAGCUGGGCUUUGGAGACCACACUUUCCAACCACUUUCCUGUCAUCUAGACCAACCUGAAUCUCUCAUUCCUUCUUCCAAGUUUCCAGCAAUAAGAGGAAAAAUAACUAAUGAUAAGGUUAGCGAAGACCAUUUGUUUAUUGGAGCUCAGAAACGCCCCUUAUUUAGAACAGGAGCUGCCAUUCGCUGACGUGCCCCUCCUCUCCUCGCCGUGAUUGGCUGAGGGGUGGGCUAGUGAGUCAGGCGGGGCCAAUCAUUGUGUCCCACUCAGAGUCCGUGAGAGCCUUUCCCUCAGUGUUUGCAUCUGGAUUUUGGGCGCAGGAGUCCUUUUGCCUGUGGCUGGUGGUGAGGCUGCGGAGGAGCAAGUCCAGAGCUCCCUGUGGCCACGGUCCCACCCCGGAGGGGAGCAUGAAGCGGACCCGGGGAGAAGCAAAGAAGGAAUGGCGUGCCCUGGUCGGUUUAGCUCAGGUUACGUCCGGAUGUCACCUGACACUUCGUUACCACGUCACCUGGUCGCCCGUGGACUCUGACAGUUUCUCAGGCUUUCUUGUUCUGACGACCUUGGCGGUUCUGAGGAGAGCUGGUCAAGUGCUUUGUAGAGCAAGCAUGUCAAACUCUCCGCCCACAACGAAUAUUUUUGCGGCCCAGCCAAUAAAACGGAUUUUCUUUUGAGCUGUCCUCACCCGCUGCACACGUCUUAAGGUACUUGGCCGGCCAAUGGCACGUCCAGGUUGCCCGGCAGUGGUCGAAGAGGAAGUCUGCAUUCAGAUACGCUGAAAGGAGGAGCUGAGAACAGACUGACUAUGCAUUACUUCCCAUAUCCGAUAUAAUAAAAGGCCAAUAUGCAAAUCGACUGAACAGCAGAAUGACCGGUCGCUGUGACACACACUGACCACAAGAGGGCAGGCGCUCAA